UGAGGUUGAUAUUCCUCAAGCUGAAUGUGGAGGUUUCGUGGCAACACAAACAAGCUCGGAGACAUCGGUAUGUACAACUGGAAGAGUUCUCUUUUCUUCUUAACAAUCUAUCUCCCUGAAUGGAUUAUCCAGAGCUAGGGAUAUAUGGUUGGCAGAGCAGUUCACCAUCGAAUUGUCAGUGAUGUUCAUAACGAUCCUUGAAAAUCCGAGUACGGUGAUCCUAUCACAUCAGGUCGUACCCAUAACCGCAUCAGGUCUCCAAGGUUAGCAGCCUCUGGUCGAUAGAAUAAUGUAGAUAAGGGAAUUCGGCAAAUUAGAUCCGUAACUUCGGGAAAAGGAUUGGCUCUGAGGAUUGGGUGUUUAGAACCUUACUAGGACAAUGGAAACUAACUAGGACUUGUCGCAAGACAGGACCCUUUGGAUGAAGUUAGAAUUGUGAGGAGCUCUUGCACAAGUAACAAUCGACUCAGAACUGAAGCGGU
rnacentral:rRNA from 1 species